rnacentral:rRNA from 1 species
AUGCACGCGUGCUUCCAUGGCGGCGGCAGGACCAAGACCAUCAGCAUCAUCAGGGACCUCACCAAGAACAUGAAGUCCAUGUCGCUCAAGAUGAAGGCGGGCGGCGGCGGGGGCAACGCGCGGGCGAGGCGACGGCGGCGGAAAGGGGCGGAGGGGGAGGAGGACCUGGAGCCGCAGGACAAGGACGUGGCAGCGGCGUCGGCGUCCGCCAAGAUCGCGCCGGAGGAGCGAGAGGGGAAGACGCGUGCGCCAUGCGACCGGUGCCGCUCCGGCCUGGAAGACGUCCCCGAGGAGGGGGAAGAGGAGGAGGCGGCGGCGGACCAUGCGACCGGGGAGGAGCAGAGCGACGGCGAGUGGGUGGCGGAGCCGGAGCCCGGGGUGCUGAUGACGCUGGUGUCCCGCCCCGACGGCACCAACCACCUCCGCAAGCUGAGGUUCCGGGAGGAGCUGUUCGACGGGCCCCGGGCGGCGCAGCGCUGGUGGGCGGACAACUACGACAGCAUCGUCGAGCUCUACAGCAUCGUGCAGUCCACCGGAGGGUCGCACGAGGAGGAGGACGCCGAGGACGGCAUCGACGACGACGAGCCCGCGACGCCGUGCCAGUCCGAGGACGACCACCACCAGCCGCGGAGGUGGCCGCGUCUGGGGUGCGACUCGGCCUCCACAUCCGCCGGCCCGUCCAGCGGAAGCGGAAGCGGCAGCGGCAGCGGCGGUGGGUCGGCCAGCACCGUGGGCUCGCCGAUACUGGGCCUCGUCGUCGCCACGCCUCCUAACAACAGUAGCAGCAGGGGCGACAAAAGCCCAGGCCAAGCACAAUCACACAAACACAAGUGUCGUUCCUUGCACAUAAAUUAG